CCAGCCGGCUGGGCGGCCGCGGCGCGCAAGCGUCGAGGAAAGUCCGGGCUCCACGGAGACACGGUGCCGGAUAACGUCCGGCGAGGGCGACCUCAGGGAAAGUGCCACAGAAAUCAAACCACCCGCGCGUGCGCGGGCCAGGGUGAAACGGUGGGGUAAGAGCCCACCGCGCGACCGGCAACGGAAGCGGCACGGAAGCCCUGUCUUCGGGCCGCCGUCCGGGUUGACUGCUUGAGGCGCCGGGUAACCGGCGUCCCAGAUGAAUGGCCGCCGCGCGGGAGCAAUCCCGCCGUACAGAACCCGGCUUACAGGCCGGCUGGUAAC
rnacentral:RNase_P_RNA from 1 species